rnacentral:rRNA from 1 species
GGGGAAUUUUCCGCAAUGGGCGCAAGCCUGACGGAGCAAGACCGCGUGAGGGAGGAAGGCUCUUGGGUUGUAAACCUCUUUUAUCAGGGAAGAAGAUCUGACGGUACCUGAUGAAUCAGCAUCGGCUAACUCCGUGCCAGCAGCCGCGGUAAUACGGAGGAUGCAAGCGUUAUCCGGAUUUAUUGGGCGUAAAGCGUCCGCAGGUGGUUUUACAAGUCUGCUGUUAAAGCGCGAGGCUUAACCUCGUACAGGCAGUGGAAACUGUGAGACUAGAGUAUGGUAGGGGUAGCGGGAAUUCCCAGUGUAGCGGUGAAAUGCGUAGAUAUUGGGAAGAACACCAGCGGCGAAAGCGCGCUACUGGGCCAUUACUGACACUCAUGGACGAAAGCUAGGGGAGCGAAAGGGAUUAGAUACCCCUGUAGUCCUAGCUGUAAACGAUGGAUACUAGGUGUUGCCCGUAUCGACCCGGGCAGUGCCGUAGCUAACGCGUUAAGUAUCCCGCCUGGGGAGUAUGCACGCAAGUGUGAAACUCAAAGGAAUUGACGGGGGCCCGCACAAGCGGUGGAGUAUGUGGUUUAAUUCGAUGCAACGCGAAGAACCUUACCAGGGCUUGACAUGUCGCGAAUCUUGAUGAAAGUUGAGAGUGCCUUCGGGAGCGCGAACACAGGUGGUGCAUGGCUGUCGUCAGCUCGUGUCGUGAGAUGUUGGGUUAAGUCCCGCAACGAGCGCAACCCUCGUUUUUAGUUGCCAGCAUUUAGUUGGGCACUCUAGAGAGACUGCCGGUGACAAACCGGAGGAAGGUGGGGAUGACGUCAAGUCAGCAUGCCCCUUACGUCCUGGGCUACACACGUACUACAAUGCUACGGACAAAGGGUUGCGAGCUAGCGAUAGCAAGCUAAUCCCAUAAACCGUGGCUCAGUUCAGAUUGCAGGCUGCAACUCGCCUGCAUGAAGGAGGAAUCGCUAGUAAUCCCAGGUCAGCAUACUGGGGUGAAUACGUUCCCGGGCCUUGUACACACCGCCCGUCACACCAUGGGAGUUGGCCACGCCCGAAGUCGUUACUCCAACCGCUUGCGGAGGAGGAUGCCGAAGGCAGGGCUGAUGACUGGGGUGAAGUCGUAACAAGGUAACC